AUUGGGGACUCUGAUGGUGAGCAAAAAGUAUUGAUCAAGAAAUUUGUAAACUUUCGCAGGAUCGAUGGAAAAAGAACAAGAGUUCAUGCUAUUGUGUAUAAAACUUUUCACCACCUAACUCGAACUGAAUGCGAUGUAAUAAAACUUAUGGUUGAUGCGGUAGAUAAUAUAGAGCCAAUAUGCACGUAG
rnacentral:rRNA from 1 species